UCAGAGAAACUGCUCCCAAACCUUUGGCAAAAUUAGGAUUCUGAAAGCAGUUACAGAGCAGUUUCCGAGAGCAGCGUGACUCAGGAUCUCUCUGCCUGCACAGAGCUGUGGAUGGAUUCUUCAGACACAGAGCAAGCAGUAAGUGGAACAGUUUCUACUGUACUUGUUUAAAUCACAGAGAGAAACGUUUCCUGAAGCUUUGCAUUGCUGAAGUUUGGGUCUGCCUUUGAAGUUUUCCUCAAUAGUGAUACAUUCCCUGCCAGGUUACAUGAUAAAGAUUAUCCUUUUCUGAGGCUCUCUCGAGGGAAGAAAAGCUUCUUCAUACAGGUUCCCAUGCCGUCAGAGUGGCACUGCUGAAACAGAAGUGUUGCCUACUGCUGAAUUCUCCACUGGCAUCACACUGAAGCAUCAAGUUUGUCCAUCUCAGGGGAGAGUUGUAGUUUAAGUUCUUGUUUCUGAGCUCCAGCAAAUAAAUGUUAAAGCUUUAAAGAAAACAAACAAACAAAUACAGCCAAACUGCUGAAUAUUCAGCGCUAAGUCCCUGGUACCUGAUGGAACUGUGGCUCCCCUCCUUGUUCAUGUGUAUGUACACAGAGUGAACUCUACACAGUUGCCCAAUUAGCUCUGCUCAAAUAGUCACAGCAAUAAAUUCAGCUUGGGGACUUCUAAUCCAAGUGCCUCCCUUCAUAGCAAAAAAAUUGGGGUAAUGGUGUGACUCUUUUAGAAGUGGCAAUAAUAGAAACUGGCUAUUAGGUUACAGUAACCUCUUUAUACCCAACAUCAAAAGC
rnacentral:lncRNA from 13 species